AUUGAACGCUGGCGGCAUGCCUUACACAUGCAAGUCGAACGUGAAAGGGGGGCAACCCCCGAGUAGAGUGGCGGACGGGUGAGUAACACAUCGGAACGUGCCCAGUAGUGGGGGACAACCUCGAGAAAUUGAGGCUAAUACCGCAUACGACCCACUGGUGAAAGCGGGGGACCGCAAGGCCUCGCGCUAUUGGCGCGGCCGAUGUCCGAUUAGCUUGUUGGCUGGGUAAAAGCCCACCAAGGCGACCAUCGGUAGCUGGUCUGAGAGGAUGAUCAGCCACACUGGGACUGAGACACGGCCCAGACUCCUACGGGAGGCAGCAGUGGGGAAUUUUGGACAAUGGGGGCAACCCUGAUCCAGCCAUGCCGCGUGCGGGAAGAAGGCCUUCGGGUUGUAAACCGCUUUCGGCCGGAACGAAAUCGCGCGGGUGAACAUCCCGCGUGGAUGACGGUACCGGAAGAAGAAGCACCGGCUAACUACGUGCCAGCCGCCGCGGUAAUAC
rnacentral:rRNA from 1 species